rnacentral:rRNA from 1 species
UUUUUAUAAAAAAGAAACAAUCGAGAUAAAAAAGAAUAAAUUUUUAUUAAAAUUUGUAUUUUUGUAAAAAAAAUUUUUUUUAAAGAACUGUAAAGGAAAAAUGAAAAUUUGAAAAUUGUAAAAUUUGAAAAGCACAUUUUGGUACCUUUUGCAUUAGGGUUUUUAGAAGAAAUUAAAUUAUUUUAAUUUCCCGAAAUUAAAAUGAGCUAUUAAAAUAAAAAAAUUAUGUGGAAAUAUGACAAAAAAUAUUUUAAUAGAAAUGAAAUUUUAUUCAUAUUUAAUGAUAUCUGGUUAUAAUUUUAUGAUUUUAGAUCAGAAUUAUAAAAUAAAGUUUAUAAAAAAUUUUAUAAUUUUUAUCCAUGGGGGAUAAGCUUAAUGGAAAUCUUUAUUAUUUUUUUUAGAUUUUUAAUAAGGAAUAAAAUUUUCUGAGUCUUUUUAAAAAGAAUAAAAAAUUAAUAAUUUUUAUGUAAGAUUUUUUUAUGAUUAAAUUAAUUCUUUGUUUAAUAUAAUUAUUAAAAAAUUAGUAAAUUUUUUUAAAAAAAUUAAUAAUUAAAACAAAGUAAAAAAAAGAAAAUUUAAUUAUAGUAAUUCGGCAAAAUAUAUAAUUGACUGUUUAUCAAAAACAUUUCAUCUUGAAGAAUAAUAAGAUGUAUAACCUGCUCAAUGAUUAUUUAAAUUGCUGUGGUAUUUUGACUAUACGAAGGUAUUGAAAUAAGAUUUUAAAUGAGUGCUAAGAGAAUGGUUGAACAAUUAGAGGCUUUCUUUAAUUAAAUAAUUAAAUUUGAUUUUUUAGUGCAAAAGCAAAAAUUUAAAUUAGGGACAAGAAGACCCUAUGAAUUUUUUAUUUUUUUUAAAAUUUUUUAUUUAAAAAAAGUUUAAUUGGGGUGAUAAAAAAAGAAUAAGUAUCUUUUUUUUAAUAAAAGUUGGUUCCGUUUUUAGCGAUUAAAUGAAAAAAAUACUCUAGGGAUAACAGCGUAAUAAUUUUGGAUAGUUCAUAUAGAUAAAAUAGUUUGCGACCUCGAUGUUGGAUUAGGAUUCUUUUUCGGCGAAGAAGUUGAUGAAAAGAAGUUUGUUCAACUUUUAAAUUCCUACAUGAUCUGAGUUCAGACCGGCGUGAGCCAGGUUGGUUUCUAUCUUAAUUUGAAAGAUUUAUUUUUAUAGUACGAAAGGAAUUAAAAAUAUAAAUGUUUUUAAUUAAAAAAUAUUUAAGUUUUAUACUAAUUUGGCAGAAAAAA